AUUGAACGCUGGCGGCAGGCCUAACACAUGCAAGUCGAACGAGUGGCGGACGGGUGAGUAAUGUCUGGGAAACUGCCUGAUGGAGGGGGAUAACUACUGGAAACGGUAGCUAAUACCGCAUACCAUCGGAUGUGCCCAGAUGGGAGUAGCUAGUAGGUGGGGUAAAGGCUCACCUAGGCGACGAUCCCUAGCUGGUCUGAGAGGUUGACCAGCCACACUUGACCUGAGACACUGUCCAGCCUCCUACGGUAGGCAGCAGUGGGGAAUAUUGCCCAAUGGGUGCAAGCCUGAUGCAGCCAUGCCGCGUGUAUGAAGAAGUCCUUCGGGUUGUAAAGGACUUUCAGCUGGUAGGCGUUACCCGCAGAAGAAGCACCGGCUAACUCCGUGCCAGCAGCCGCGGUAAUUC
rnacentral:rRNA from 1 species